CAAGAAUGUUCUUCCUCACUUAAUAUUAUAGAUUUUAUGUCAUUUAUAGCAGUUUAAAUAUAGUACAGAAACACGUUGUUGCUAUAAUACAUUACUUUUAUCUUUUAUUUCUCAGCGUGCGUUCCAAAAAUGCCCCUAUCUCCUAUUCCUAACCAGUGAUGGGAAUAAUGGCGUUACAAGUAGCGUUGUUAUUAACAGCAUGAUUGCUGCUGUUUGACUGAGGAAGAAUAAAUGAGUCGUGGUAAGCCAAUCCUAUGACCACUUUAAAAUGACAAAGCAACAAGGUGAUAUAUACCAAGUUUUAAAUUGUGUUGAUGGGCCACGUAAAACCAGAGUCAUGAUAAACAGUAAAAAUAUAACGUUUUCUACUCGGAUUUUAUGUUUUUUGUCCGAUUUUAGAUCAAAUGUGUUAAUACAGUAUGUCAAAAUAAAAACAUAACCGUAAAUUCAGACACGUGAGGUUGUGCUGAAAAGAAUGAGACCAAGCAAGGCAAGUAAAUAGUUUUUAAAGGUGAAAUGUAGAGGUCAAAUCAAAAGUAGUUAAAAAUGGCCAAUUAUACCCUGGGCCCCAGAGGGUUAAAGAUUUUUUUUUUAAGUAACGCAAUAGUUACUUUUCAAGUAAUUAAUUACUUUUAGUAUCUUGUAACUCACUAACUCAGUUACUUUUUUGUAGAAGUAACUAGUACCUAUAAUUAAUUACCUUUUCAAAGUAACUUGUCCAACACUGUUCCUAACCUCUUUUUAUUGAUCUCAAUACAAGCACCAUAGAGGUCAAGGAAAAGUGCAUACGAGAAUUGCUAAGGACUCAGGAAAAGAGAAGAGUUGUGCGUUGAGGUUUGGAACUAUCUUACUCUAGUCUAUCCCUAUAAAUGUGCUGCCUUAUGUUUUGAAAAUGCAAUGUGCAGAAGAUGAACUGCAAGACCAAAGGUCUCUAAACCGGAGGUCUUGUAAGGUCAUGCAACGAGAACAGCCUGUGAAAAAUAUCCUUCAUUAUGAACGGUGGAAUUUUAGGGGCCAGAUUUAUUAAAUACUAACUCUGCCUCUUGAUUGACUGAAGAGGCUCAUUGUCACUUUAUGACUGACAGUUAUGAACAGGAGUAUUUUUACAGCUGAACUUGUGUCGUAUAUGUUUUUAAGAGUUUCAUUUCACAAGAAGAAUAAUUCAAUAUCUUGUUUUAUUGCCAAACGUUUGGCUCUGUCCUAAUAAUCUUAACUCAGUCCUCACACCAAACAUUUAGAUCAUCUUAUUGUUCCUCAGUAAUGCUGGGAGUUUCAUAAAACAGAGCAGAAUGAACUGAAUGAGCUAGGCUCUCAGCAGUGAGCUAGGCUGUUGUUCAAUUUAUACAUUUCUUCCUUCAGGUCAGGUUGCAGCAACUCCACUGUCUGCACGACCCGUCAUAGAUGAAUCCUCUCACCGUCCUUCUCAUUUUGUCUCUUAAUUCGGCAUCUACAGGUGAGUCAAAAAGGGGACGUUGAUUUUAGUUCGUUCAAAACAAAAAACUCAUGAGGAAAAAAGAGAAAUGUUCUAAACAGUAUUUGUGUAUCUAACAGGGUUGUGUGUAGCUUGUCUGUCAUAAUGAUAUGAUUGGAAAAAAAGGUGUUGUUUUUCUACUUGUUUCUGCAUUUAUAACGUCACAAAGACUGUGUGUCCCACUUCCUCAUUCUGUCUUUUGCUCAGGCUUAAAAGAGAUAGAUGUGCAGGCAGACAGGAACGCCCAGCUGGAGUGUCAGGGUCCUAAAAAAGCCAAACUUGUCCUGUUAGAGUGGAAAAGACUUGAUCUGUUGUCGGAUGGAUACGUCUUCUUCUACCGAGAUGGUCAUCUUCAUAAAACCUUCCAGCAUCCAACUUUUAGAGAUCGAGUGGAACUGAGAGAUCCGCAGAUGAAAAAUGGGAACAUGUCCAUCAUUUUGUCCAACACCACAAUUAAAGACACUGGAACGUAUGAGUGUCGUAUCAUCGCACAAAACACAAGAGACAGUAGCAGCUCUGCCUUUGAGAUCAAGCAUGAAAUCAAGCUGACAGUUGUUCCUCCAGGUCGGGCACAAGAGGUCACCGUACUUAGAGAUGAGGAGAAUGGAGGUAUGGACGUUGGGAACAAGGAUGAAAGAGAUGGAGGAUUUAUUGGACUAACAGGUGGUCUGUUAGCUUUGGUGGUGAUUCUUGUUGUUUUGUUUUCUUACAAUGUGUUCUUUUCCUCCUGUUGGAAAAGAAAGUUCAUAAAGCACAACAGAUGUGUUUUUGGGAAGAUAUGACAAAACGGUCGCAAAAGUGACAAACUAACAGCAAUUGGUUAAUUGCCAACAUGCAUUUAAAAUAUUAUAUGAAUCAUGUCAUUAAAACACACAUUGCGUGCAUCUUCUGUUUUCUUCUAAGCAUGUGCAGUCGUUUGCAUUUUUUGUUCCAUCACAGUAUUGUUACCCCAACACAAGCCCGUGGGGAGUAGGGUUGCUGAGGUUUGCUGCUCCAACCCUUGUCGCAAAAACAAAUGUCUUCAGAAAUGUUUUAUUUAGGAAGUAGAAUUAAUUAAUGAAACAAGUAAAAAAGGUUUUUCUCCCCCUGUAAAGCAUUAUAGUCAAAUAACAUGCAUACUAGAUACCAGUACAAGUGGUGUAAUUUACAAAAAGAGCUAACAGACAACAGCUGUCACCAGCUAAAUGCUCUCCCUAACAUUUUGAACACUUUGGACAUCACUGCUCCUCCUGAGGAAAUUUAUCACCAAAACUUAAAGUCACAUUUAGAGUAUUAAUAUCACACACUCAGACAAAGGUUACAUUUUAGCUUAUUAUGAGAUGUCAUCACAAAGUUUAACAUUAUACUUAAGCAAUAAUUUCACCUUCCCACUUUUGUUUCCAAAGGGUUCUUGACUAUGUGUGUAAAUUUGACUUUUGGCUGAGUGAAAUAUCCAUAUAUGACUUGGUUCUGUUACAUUUUGGCUCUUUAUGUGAGCACCGGGAUCUGUAACUGGGGCUACACUGACUAGAGUAGUACACCAAUCCAGUGUUGAGUAGCACAGAGCUGUUGCCUUAAAUAGUGGCAGGAAAAUGCAGGAACACGGGUUACUUGCAGGUGCGUAGGUCAAAUGCGGGGACCUCUAAUAAGUUCUACCCAGUUGGAGAGGAGUGGAAGAGAGAGAGAGAGAGAGAGAGCAACAUAACAAAAACCCAGCUGACAUCAAGACAUCUGCCCGUUCAUCACUGGGAUGAGAAAGUGUUGCAGCUCUCAGUCUGACAAAACCUGCAAAUAUACACAUUGUUCAAAUGACUUGAUAUCUUCCACAAAAGAUAUGUUUGACAUGGACCAACAACAGUUAAAAUACUGGAAAUCACUUUUUGGCAAUUUGAUAAAUAAAUGAAUUUUUGGGAAAACUGUGAACUAUGAGAUUUAUUUUAACACAGUUACCUGCUUUUUUAAAAUAAUUUUAUUACUGGUCCUGGUGGCAAAAAUAAACUUCAUAAAC
ensembl:lncRNA